AUUAAAAUGUCAGCGUUAUUAAAAGAGGGCCUUUUUCUAUUAUAUCUCCUGUGCCUAGAACUUCCACUCAACAAAUAUUGUUUGGGGGAGAAAGUAUUCAGCAACCUCAACCAUCUGUGAUUGCUCUGAUCCUGGAAGUCAGGGAGAAAAGCACACUUACCAGCCUUUGCCUCCAGAGAAGUUGCUUGCCUUGGUACCUGCAGUUCCCAUCUGGUAAUAUAUCACUUUUGCUUAAAGAUGGAGAAAAAAGCAAAAGAGUUAUCAUUACAGAAGUUCCUGGCUAUCACACAGCAAAAUGUGAAUGUGCUGGAGUGACUGAAUGGUUUUGGGAGCCCCUCAGCCAACUGAAUGGGGCAAGAAAAGAAAGAAUAGAAGAAAGAGACCCUUUUGUCCUCUUGAGUCUGCUGCCUGCAUGUUCUUUCUGGCUCUUGGUAGCCCUUCUCAAUAGAAUAUUUUCUAGAUCAUUUCCUUUAUACCUCAGUUGUAUUUCUCUGCCAAUUUAAAGUUGCUCUGUCUCAUAUUUUAGAACCUCAAUAAAUAAAACUUUGAAAAUGUAAUUAUUAUCCAUUAUUCCUGGAAAUAUAAUGCUUUAUCCAAAGGAAUUCAUCUCUAAUGGUGGAAACCUGGUGCCUGCACAAUGAGAAAGCUAUUUUAGGAAAGGGGCAUCACUCAGAUCACUGCCAAUGGCCUCUUUGGUCAUCUGUUCUGGUGAAGACUGAGCUGGCUGCAACACUUAUGGUUACUGAGACUAUAAGG